rnacentral:lncRNA from 10 species
AUUUUGACUUGCUUGAACAUUUCUUUAUUAGCUUGUUGGUGUUGGUUUUGCUUGUCAGCUACACUAUUCAUUUCUGGAGUAACACUUCAUACUAAGGCAGUUGGUGCUUCUUGACUGAACAGGCCAGUUGUAAUUUCUCUGCACUCUACAGUGAUGUCAGUUUUCUUCAACUCAAGAAGGGCAGUUUGCACGAAGGAGGAGCCAAAACCAAGAGAGGCAUUGAUCGUACCUCAUUUACAAGGAGGAACUAGGGUAUACCUGCUUGUAAUGGUAGAAAACAUUGUUCAGCUGCACCUAACAAGGGAACUCUUAAACGUGAUGACUAUUUCUCCAGUAUCUUCCUAGAAGUAUAACUAGAAGAAGG